UACGUAGGGUGCAAGCGUUAAUCGGAAUUACUGGGCGUAAAGCGCACGUAGGCGGGUCAUUAAGUCAGGGGUGAAAUCCCGGAGCUCAACUCCGGAACUGCCUUUGAUACUGAUGAUCUAGAGGUCGAGAGAGGUGAGUGGAAUUCCGAGUGUAGAGGUGAAAUUCGUAGAUAUUCGGAAGAACACCAGUGGCGAAGGCGGCUCACUGGCUCGAUACUGACGCUGAGGUGCGAAAGCGUGGGGAGCAAACAGG
rnacentral:rRNA from 1 species